ACCUAUUCUAACUGAGUUACAGGGUAGAGCGCAUCACUUGUAAUGAUGAGGUCGCUAGUUCGAAUCUGGUAGUGGGCA